ensembl:snoRNA SNORD39 Small nucleolar RNA SNORD55/SNORD39
GGCAUAAUUUUAAAGCUGUUUUUACCCGAGUGCGCAUUAGGGGAACCAACCUUGGAGAGCUGAGCAUGCC